GAUGAACGCUGACAGAAUGCUUAACACAUGCAAGUCUUUGGCGAAGCUGUGCUUGCACAGCCUAGCCAAGGCGGACGGGUGAGUAACGCGUAAGGAACUUGCCCUGCAGUCAGGGAUAACAGACGGAAACGACUGAUAAGACCUGGUAAAGUCAGGCGGACUCAUGUCCAGCCUGAUGAAAAGUGAUGCUGCAGGAGAGCCUUGCGUCCUAUUAGCUUGUUGGUGGGGUAACGGCCCACCAAGGCGAUGAUAGGUAGCCGGCCUGAGAGGGUGGACGGCCACAAGGGGACUGAGAUACGGCCCUUACUCCUACGGGAGGCAGCAGUGGGGAAUAUUGGACAACGGGGGCAACCCUGAUCCAGCAAUUCUGUGUGCACGAUGAAGGUUUUCGGAUUGUAAAGUGCUUUCAGCAGGGAAGAAAAAAAUGACGGUACCUGCAGAAGAAGCGACGGCUAAAUACGUG
rnacentral:rRNA from 1 species